rnacentral:rRNA from 1 species
UACGAAGGGGGCGAGCGUUGUUCGGAAUUACUGGGCGUAAAGGGCGCGCAGGCGGCUCUGAAAGUCAGAUGUGAAAGCCCCGGGCUUAACCUGGGAACUGCAUUUGAUACUCUGGAGCUUGAGUACGGGAGAGGAUAGUGGAAUUCCCAGUGUAGAGGUGAAAUUCGUAGAUAUUCGCAAGAACACCAGUGGCGAAGGCGGCUCACUGGCCCGAUACUGACGCUGAGGUGCGAAAGCGUGGGGAGCAAACAGG